rnacentral:rRNA from 1 species
UACGUAGGCAGCAAGCGUUGUUCGGAGUUACUGGGCGUAAAGCGUGCGCAGGCGGUUAUAUAAGACAGUUGUGAAAUCCCCGGGCUCAACCUGGGAACUGCAUCUGUGACUGUAUAGCUAGAGUACGGUAGAGGGGGAUGGAAUUCCGCGUGUAGCAGUGAAAUGCGUAGAUAUGCGGAGGAACACCGAUGGCGAAGGCAAUCCCCUGGACCUGUACUGACGCUCAUGCACGAAAGCGUGGGGAGCAAACAGG